GACGAACGCUGGCGGCGUGCUUAACACAUGCCAGUCGAACGAAGAGCGAUGGAAGCUUGCUUCUAUCAAUCUUAGUGGCGAGCGGGUGAGUAACGCGUAAUCAACCUGCCCUUCAGAGGGGGACAACAGUUGGAAACGACUGCUAAUACCGCAUACGAUCUAAACUCGGCAUCGAGGAUAGAUGAAAGGUGGCCUCUACAUGUAAGCUAUCACUGAAGGAGGGGAUUGCGUCUGAUUAGCUAGUUGGAGGGGUAACGGCCCACCAAGGCGAUGAUCAGUAGCCGGUCUGAGAGGAUGAACGGCCACAUUGGGACUGAGACACGGCCCAGACUCCUACGGGAGGCAGCAGUGGGGAAUCUUCCGCAAUGGACGAAAGUCUGACGGAGCAACGCCGCGUGAGUGAUGACGGCCUUCGGGUUGUAAAGCUCUGUUAAUCGGGACGAAAGGCCUUCUUGCGAAUAGUGAGAAGGAUUGACGGUACCGGAAUAGAAAGCCACGGCGAACUACGU
rnacentral:rRNA from 1 species